rnacentral:rRNA from 1 species
UACGGGGGGGGCAAGCGUUGUUCGGAAUUACUGGGCGUAAAGGGCUUGUAGGCGGCCAACUAAGUCCGACGUGAAAUCCCCAGGCUUAACCUGGGAACUGCGUCGGAUACUGGAUGGCUUGAAUUCGGGAGAGGGAUGCAGAAUUCCAGGUGUAGCGGUGAAAUGCGUAGAUAUCUGGAGGAACACCGGUGGCGAAGGCGGCAUCCUGGACCGGUAUUGACGCUGAGGCGCGAAAGCCAGGGGAGCAAACGGG